AUUGAACGCUGGCGGCAGGCCUAACACAUGCACGUCGAGCGAGCGGCGGACGGGUGAGUAAUGUAUGGGGACUGCCCGAUAGAGGGGGAUAACUACUGGAAACGGUGGCUAAUACCGCAUACUAUCGGAUAACCCAUAUGGGAUUAGCUAGUAGGUGGGGUAAAGGCUCACCUAGGCGCCGCGCUCUAGCUGGUCUGAGCGGAUGAUCAGACAAACGGGGACUGAGACAGGGCCCAGAUUCCUACGGAGGCAGCAGUGGGGAAUAUUGCACAAUGGGCGCAAGCCUGAUGCAGCCAUGCAGGGUGUAUGAAGAAGGCCUGAGGGUUGUAAAGUACUUUCAGUGGGGAGGCGUUACCCGCAGAAGAAGCACCGGCUAACUCCGUGCCAGCCGCCGCGGUAAUAC
rnacentral:rRNA from 1 species